rnacentral:rRNA from 1 species
CCGCGUGAGUGAAGAAGGCCUUCGGGUUGUAAAGCUCUUUUGUCAGGGAAGAAACGGCUGUGGCUAAUAUCCACGGCUAAUGACGGUACCUGAAGAAUAAGCACCGGCUAACUACGUGCCAGCAGCCGCGGUAAUACGUAGGGUGCAAGCGUUAAUCGGAAUUACUGGGCGUAAAGCGUGCGCAGGCGGUUUUGUAAGUCUGACGUGAAAUCCCCGGGCUCAACCUGGGAAUUGCGUUGGAGACUGCAAGGCUAAAAUCUGGCAGAGGGGGGUAGAAUUCCACGUGUAGCAUUGAAAUGCGUAAAGAUGUGGAGGAACACCGAUGGCGAAGG